AGCGAACGCUGGCGGCAGGCCUAACACAUGCAAGUCGAACGGAUCCUUCGGGAUUAGUGGCGGACGGGUGAGUAACACGUGGGAACGUGCCCUUUGGUUCGGAACAACUCAGGGAAACUUGAGCUAAUACCGGAUGUGCCCUUCGGGGGAAAGAUUUAUCGCCAUUGGAGCGGCCCGCGUCUGAUUAGCUAGUUGGUGAGGUAACGGCCCACCAAGGCGACGAUCAGUAACUGGUCUGAGAGGAUGAUCAGCCACACUGGGACUGAGACACGGCCCAGACUCCUACGGGAGGCAGCAGUGGGGAAUCUUGCGCAAUGGGCGAAAGCCUGACGCAGCCAUGCCGCGUGAAUGAUGAAGGUCUUAGGAUUGUAAAAUUCUUUCAGCGGGGACGAUAAUGACGGUACCCGCAGAAGAAGCUCCGGCUAACUUCGUG
rnacentral:rRNA from 1 species